rnacentral:rRNA from 1 species
AGCUCCAAUAGCGUAUAUUAUUGAUGUUGCAGUUGAAACGUUCGUAGUCGAAAUUUGUCUGCUUAUUCAUCGUUGUGUCUACGAUAUGACGAUGUUCUCAGCAGAUAUUGUGCAAUCGAAUUCAUAUGAUUCAUAUGUUAUUUCGUUGCAUUUUACUUUGAGUGAAUCGGCGUGUUCCACGCAGGCAUGUGCCUUGAACGAUUUACCAUAGUAUAACUAGAGUAUGGAAAUAUCUUCUUGUUGAUUCGAAGGUGUUUUCUAUACAGAUAAGAACGGUUGAGGGCAUUCGUAUUCAACUGCUAGAGGUGAAAUUCUUUGAUUAGUUGAGGACGAACUAUUGCGAAAGCAUCUGCCAAGGACGUUUCUU